rnacentral:lncRNA from 1 species
AUGCCAUUCUUUAUUCUGCCAAGCCCCUCUCGCUGCCUCCUGCGGCCCCAGAACCAUAACAAAGCUCUGCCCAAAAUGGCUGCCCGGCCCUGCCCGGCCGGGGGCCGGAGGGGGCGGGGCCUGCGCGCGCGGGGGGCGGGGACAAGGAGGCGGAAGGGACACACCCACCUGGCUCGGGCAGCGGCCACGCGGAGCCCCUCCCCCCCGGCUAGGGAGAGGGGCGCGCGCACUCGACCCGGCGGGAGCGCGCGCCGGGCCCCCGCCCCACCAAUCGGAACGGUAGCACGCGCCGUCGUCGCCGCCUGUCGGGCGCCGCCGGAGACUACGAGCCCCAGAAGGCCGUGCGGCCCCUCCCGCGGCGCCGAUCGCCGGAGCGCCGCGCCGCAGUGCAGGCUGGGAUUUGUAGUCCGCCCCGAGCCCGCCACGCCUUUCCGCGUGAGCGACGCUCUCCCGCGGUGAAGAUCCCGAAAACUAAAAAGGGGGAGCGGGCGCUAGCCCCCCUUCAGCGGGCCAACACAGCAACCCUGGAGAAAGCAGAGGCCCUUGUAGCAGCUCUKCCAGCCAGACCAGCAGCCGCAAGCCCCGGGGGUCCGGGGACGCUCGCUGCAGGGCGAGGAAUGCAGACCCGGCRCAGCUCCGGCAGCAGCAGCCCGCCUUUGACACUCGUGCGAAGAGUCACGCCAAACCCAGGGCCUUUCCUCGCCUCCGCCCGAGAGCUGGUGAAGAGCCUCCCUGCAUGAGAACGCCUUUCUCCAGCCGAGUUACUGCAGUGACAGCGGGCACAGACACAAGCCUGCUCCCCUCCCUUGGUGGAGGAUCUGCUUUUUGACUCUGUCGUCCCCCUUUUUUAAGCACUCCAGAUCCCGGGAUCCCGGGCGGGUGUCACGCACGCCUGCACGCGGCCCGGGCACGGCGGAACGAGAUCGGCAGCGCCUGUUCCCGCCCGGACUUUCCCCGCCGAGCGCCGGCGCCGCGUCCCGGGGCACCGGAAGCUGCGGCAGCGAGGAGGCUGCAGGGCCGCGCCGGGAGCCGAGGCAGAGCGGCGGAGGCCGGGCCGGUGGGUGCCGCCGUGCCGGGCGGGGGCUGGCGGCGGGCACAGCCCGGGGGGAACCGCUUCGGCCCCGCGGCCGUGCAGGCUUCUCCUGCCCCGGCCCUGCCGCGCGGGGCACCCCGCUCCCCCUGCUCGCCUUUCCCCCUUCGCUUUCGUCCCUUCUCGAGUAGCUCAGGUACAACUGAGCGUAAUGAGGUUUCCACCCUGUAGUAGCUGAGGGUCGUUUUUACAAGUUUAUAUUACAAGUUUAUUACUUCAGUUCAUAGAGCAAUCUGAAGCAAAAUAUCUUGUAGCUGGUAAAUAAGGAUAGAAUGCAUAAAGUAUUUAUCUUUAAGUAUACAAAGAGUCUUACAACUGAUAAGACUCUGACUUAACUUGGGACAUAACGCAAACUCAGCUAUUCAUCGG